rnacentral:lncRNA from 1 species
GAAAAAGAUUUCUAAUUUUUUUUCAAAAAAUAGAGAUUAGUCUUGGAAUCUACUUCAUAUCGAACUUAAACAACUCGAACCGUCUAUUUUGUAAAUGUCGAUUUAAUAUAUCAUCUUUUUAAAAAUUCAAUUCAAUUUGAAACUAUUUGCCUAUUUAAUUGUCAUGAUGAAAUUUCAAUGUUUCUUAGAACAUUGUGUUUGUCAAUUUUCUUUGAACUCAAUUAAAUGCGUCAAGUUUUUCUAAUUUGACUAAUAUUUUGUAAGGAUGAUCUAUCAGGUGACACUUAAAAAACAGACGGUCGAAUCGUUAAAAUUCAAUGAGAUGUGAUCCCCACAACCAAUUUGAAAAAUAGGAAUCCUUUCUCAUAAAUAUGGAGUGGGUCCCAUAAUAUGUAUGACUAUUGCAACAUAUGUAUAUAAUUUCCUCCAACUCUCUUAUCUGUUGGGAUCUGUUUGUCAUUUUCAGCAAAGAUUUCUUUUUCAUUUUUUUUUUCAUUUUUUGGAAACUGCCAAGGAUUUUGUUUCUUGGCUCUUGUUAUUGUAUGGGAUAUGAAGAGAGACUACUUAGUUUAGUUUUAGUACUACUUUCUGCAUAUUUGCAUUAUUCGCUCCAUUACUACUUCAGUGUUUUGACCAAAUGAUGGCGUAGGCAAGAACUUUAUCCAUCAUUACCAAUUUAAGCCAAUCACUAAGGCUCCACAUUUAUCAUUUAUGCACAUGAACUUCGACAUUAACUGGAUAAGGGAAAUAUUUUUGCUUUUCACCUUUAAGUAAUAGUGACGGUUUACCAUCUUAUUAUCAUUGUUGAAUAAGUUUAGAUUUUGAGAUUUGAGUAAUAGAUAGACAUGAAUUUUAGAAUUUAAACUCAUCCGAUGGUAAUAAGUAGGAUGGUGAGCAUUAUCACUACUUGAGAGCGGUUAGUAAAAUUGCACCCAAUGAAUAAGAACUUACAAAGAACGCAUUCGCUGUCACUUUAGGGUUUUAGCGCAAUAAAAUAAUGCUACAUGUAAGUUUAUCUUCACAUGACAUUAGAUCAUUGCAUUGAGAUAUCACGUCGUAAUGAACUCAUUCCAUACCAAUUAAUGUCCGUCAAAAGGCUAUCAUGUUGUAAUGAACUUGUCACGUGGUAAGUUUCUCUUCACAUAUUUAUACACACCUUGUGGGGCUCAAUCUACAAUGAAUUUCAAUGAUCUGGCAGUUGAAUAUUAAUCUCUUAAUUCAUAUAUCAUAAUUGAAAAAAAUCAACAAAAUCAGAGAUAACUAAGACAAUUUGUUGUAAUGGACAAAGUAGACGAACAUAGUUUUUAAUAACCACUAAAAUGACUACCUUCUAAUUAAUUUGGUCAACAGUAGGAUCAUCAAAAUACAUUGUAGAUUGAGUCUCAUAUGGCGUCUCUCAAAUAAGCUUGCUUGAGAGAUCCCUCAACAAAAAGAGGACUAUAUGUAUAUAUAUAUACAGAGGAGUUUAUUAUUAGCUCUCUAAAAGUUUAAUUGUGCACUUCAAUCUUUCUAUAUUUACAAAGAAAAAUACUUUUAUAAAAAGGGCACAAUUAAAAUUUUCAAGUGCCAAUAAUAGUAUCAUAUAUAUAUAUAUAUAUAUAGACACACAUAUACAAAUCUUCUUUUAUGCAAUCGAAUUCAGUGUUUUUUGGUGGUGGUUUGUCCUUGUAGAUUUUAUUUUCUUCAAUUCACUGCAAAUAAAGUUUAAAUCCUCUUUCCAUUACUAUAGUUUAGAGUGUACACAUGUCAUUGUAUCAUUGGUAGGCAACAAUAUAAUGAUGGUGUACCUGUACGAUAGAAGUUUUCUUCAAAGAGUGAGGUUGAACGGUCUUGUUGUAUUUUCUUCACUUACAAGCGAAAAAUCUUAAGUUCAAAUCUCGCAUAUAACGAAUUUGAUACCAAUAGAUUUAAGGAACUGUUAUUAACACUUCAAAAAGUAAUUGUACACACUUCAUAAGAAUAUUUUUAUUUCUAAUUAUAAAAAAUUUGGAAUGCAUAAUUAUAUUUUGAGAACUAUUAAGGGCAUUAUCUCAAAAGCGAAACUUUUCAUAGACUUUUUGUCACCUUGUGUUUUUUGUACAAUGUUUUAUAAUAGCAUCACGGAAUUGACGUUGAACUAUGAGAUGACAGAUAGUUCAUGAAUAAUUCUUUUACCAUUUCUCCUAAUUUUUUGGAAUGCCAACAACAAUUUCCUCGGUGAAUAGUUGAUUAGGUUGAGAAAAAAAGUUAAAGUCGUAGGAUCUCUCAUCACGGAAUACCACGGCGACGCAUGACAAUUCAUAGACACAACCAAUUUCCAAGGCAACCUUGUCCUGCUCCUACUCCUAACCCCAAAGACAUGCAGGCACGAUGUGUAUUGUUGAUUAAGACUUCACUAACCUCACGGUGCCAACAUGGCUCACCAGCUUUAAUUUGUUAAACAAUUUCCCCUAAUUAAUUUCUAUUAGUGGAUGGUUGGACCACCUUGGUACUCUGCAAUGGUAUGGGAUUAGUUAAAUCAUGUAAAGGGUGUUUAAUUAAUUAAAAUUUGUGGACAAUAAUAUUGUUUACGGGUUACCUACUAUCCAUCAGAUUCUAAUCGGAUAACAUAUAAUAUUUUAACGUCUGAUGGGGGGUAGUAGGUAGGUGAGAUGGUUAUUUGCGAAGAGGGUGCAUGAUUGAAUAGUUUAAGUGACUUUUUGCUUAAUUAAUCAAAGUGGAUUAGCGAUUGAAAUAAGAUUCCGUAAGGAAUCAGCCACUUAGAAUGUGACGAAAACGAAUAAGUGGGAGAUUAAGAACAUGGUUUUUUUGGCAUAAAUCGUUAAAAGCAUGGGAAAACUAAUAGAAGGUCUCUUACAAAACUUUUUCUAAUUGAAAAUUAGUUAAACAACCUUUUUUAUUAUUAUUAUUAUUAAGAAUAUUUUUUGUAUUACAAAGACAAAAAAACGAGUCACAUUUCUUGAGAAUUUUGAAUUAAAAAAAAUGUCCUUAAUAAUAUGCAGCAUUUUUGCCCAUCACCAUUUAAUAGAUGCUCACCUCCCUCUUAUAACUUGCCACGCGUCCCAUUAACUUACCAGAGUUCAUUUUACGUGUCAAAUAUUUGUGAAAAGAAUUAAAAUAAAUAAAAUAACAAUCAAAACAAAACAAAAAAACCCCAACAUCUC